GCAAGUCUGGUGCCAGCAGCCGCGGUAAUUCCAGCUCCAAUAGCGUAUAUUAAAGUUGUUGAGGUUAAAAAGCUCGUAGUUGAACCUUGGGCCUAGCCGGCCGGUCCGCCUCACCGCGUGCACUGGGAGCCCGGACCUUUCCUUCUGGCAAACCGCAUGCCCUUUACUGGGUGUGUUGGGGAACCAGGACUUUUACUUUGAAAAAAUUAGAGUGUUCAAAGCAGGCAUUUGCUCGAAUACAUUAGCAUGGAAUAAUAGAAUAGGACGUGCGGUUCUAUUUUGUUGGUUUCUAGGACCGCCGUAAUGAUUAAUAGGGACAGUCGGGGGCAUCAGUAUUCAAUCGUCAGAGGUGAAAUUCUUGGAUCGAUUGAAGACUAACUACUGCGAAAGCAUUGCCAA
rnacentral:rRNA from 1 species